GCCUGCGGAAGGAUCAUU
rnacentral:rRNA from 1 species